rnacentral:rRNA from 1 species
UAGGGAGGGUGCAAGCGUUAUCCGGAAUCACUGGGUUUAAAGGGUGCGUAGGCGGCUAAAUAAGUCAGAGGUGAAAGCUUGCAGCUUAACUGCGAAAUUGCCUUUGAUACUGUAUAGCUUGAAAGGAGCUGAGGUCAGCAGAAUGUGGCAUGUAGCGGUGAAAUGCAUAGAUAUGCCAUAGAAUACCAAUUGCGAAGGCAGCUGGCUGGGCUUACUUUGACGCUGAGGCACGACAGCGUGGGGAUCUAACAGG